rnacentral:rRNA from 1 species
GAUGAACGCUAGCGGCAGGCUUAAUACAUGCAAGUCGUGGGGCAGCAGGGGUGUAGCAAUACAUCUGCUGGCGACCGGCAAACGGGUGCGUAACACGUACGCAACCUUCCCGUUACUGUGGUAUAGCCCAGGGAAACUUGGAUUAAUACCACAUAUUAUAUUGAGGGGGCCUCCCUUUGAUAUCAAAGCUUCGGCGGUAACGGAUGGGCGUGCGGUUGAUUAGGUAGUUGGCGGGGUAACGGCCCACCAAGCCUACGAUCAAUAGCUGAUGUGAGAGCAUGAUCAGCCACACGGGCACUGAGACACGGGCCCGACUCCUACGGGAGGCAGCAGUAAGGAAUAUUGGGCAAUGGACGAAAGUCUGACCCAGCCAUGCCGCGUGAAGGAUUAAGGUCCUCUGGAUUGUAAACUUCUUUUCUCUGGGGCGAAAACCAGCUAUUCUUAGCUAUUUGACAGUACCAGAGGAAUAAGCACCGGCUAACUCCGUGCCAGCCGCCGCCGUAAUAC